AACUAAAUUUAGACCGUGCAAACUAAAUUUAGACCGUACAGUUUAUACUGUUUUUCGAAAUAUAAAAUAUUCAAGCAAAAGUUUAAAUGUUUUAAAUAUUGUUUUCUCGAAACAGAACAUUUCGUGCUUUGAGAUAAGAUGGCCAAGACCAAUUUGAUCAGUUAAUGUGUUUUUUAUGCAUAGUGCUUGCUUAGCAGUUGACAUAUAUAGAGCUCAGCGGAAACAUAUAAAUUAUAGCAUCUGACCAAUGAGAAUUUCGCGUCACGAUUUGAGACGCAGAUAUUCAAAUUUAUUAGUGAUCGAUGCAGGCUCUCAAUUCAGCUUGAGAGCCUGUUCGCAGGCUA